GCGUCAUACCCGGUUUACGAGCUAAACCAGCGGUAAUUAAAAUAAUAUCUGAAUCUGCUGAAUCUUUAUAGUCAUUG
rnacentral:tRNA from 1 species